GUAAGUCAUAGAACUUCUCAAGUUUGGCC
rnacentral:rRNA from 1 species